rnacentral:rRNA from 1 species
AUGCCCGAUCGCAUCGACGUUGGAUCUCGGAUAUCAGGGGCGGCAUGGGGUGCUGGCACUAUGCCAUCUGCCAGUUGGCACGCGUGGCGCAGCUUGCUCCCCACAUGGAUGCCCUCUAGUGGCGUUGGACGGCGGAUGUGCAGUACAUGUCCAAGAGUUGCUAUGACGCUCUCUUUGAGGGCGCGGUCGGAUCUCGCUCUUCAAGUUCUUCCUGUAGCUCGCUUGACCAGAUUGGAGCAUCUUGCGCUUCAUGGCUUGCAGCACACAUCGAGUUUUGUGCUAUACGACCAGUCCAAGGAGACGAUUGCCCACCUCCUCUCUGGCAAGUGCUCUCCUGGUUCAGGUUGA